AGUAUCACCUGUGAGCCGGAAGGAAAAGGUCAUUUGCAGAAGGAGGUCAUAGAUCACACAGUGAGACUUGCUUACACAAACAGCUUGGUCUUCCUCAUUGGCUUGCACUCUGGAGCUCUCCUGACUCUGAUUUGAUCAGAAAUUUUUAGCUAUCGAAUCAGUUUCUGCACAGCUGUCUAGAUAAGUUAUAGAAUCAAUAAAAUUUAAAAAAUUUUCCACACUCACUCCUGAAAUGUAUUUUAUCUGAGUAUAGAAUUUAAUGUUAGGAUACUUGCAAGUUUCCCUCAUCUCUUUGAAAAUGUUAAUCUAUUGUCUUCUUACAUUUAUUGCUGCCAAAGGAAUGUCUACUGUUGGUCUAAAUAUCAUUCCCUCAAAGAUAAUAUUUAUUUUUUAACUCUGAUAAGUUUUAAAGUUUCCCCUACCUUGUCCUUGGUAUUCUGCUGUUUCACUAUAAUAAGCUUCAGUGAAGAUUUAUUUUUACUUAACCUAUGUAAUAAGUGUAGAAUUUUUAUCAGAAAGAUAGGGCUGUGGUUUUUGUUCUGUCUGGAAAAUUCUCAGCUAUUUUCUCUUUCAUAAGAGUUUCUUUUGAAACUCUUAGUAUUAUCUGGUGAAGUUUCUUGAGUAUCUAAUUUUUACUUUUUUAUUUUUAAUAUAAUUUGUCUCUAAAUGUUGCAUUUGGGGGAAAUUCCUCAUUAUUCUCUUUAAAUUAACUAUUUUUUCUUACUAAUCAGGUUGGAGUAUUCUAUCCACUUAGGUAUAUAUUUUAUUCUCUACCUUUUUCGUUCUUAACAUUUCUAAGUGCUUCUUUCACAUUUUCUCUUGUACUUAUCUCAUUUAUGCUUGUUUUUCAUUGGCAAUGUAUUAGAGUUUAAUAGAUUUUAUUCCACCAUCUAUCUCCUUAUAGAGAAGAGGAUCUUAUAGUUAUUUUUAAGUCUUUUUUAGAAUUGCUUUGUUAACUUUAACUGAAGCAAUUUCAUACUGAUUUUGAAGUGUGGCUCUUCUGGAAGGAUUUUCUUCUUGUAGUUUUGAGCUCUAUAAUAUCAGAUCCACACCCCCCCCUCCCCCGCCCCAACCCCUUUUCUCUGCAGUCUCAUCUGUCUAGUAGUUUCAUGGCCUCUUUUACCAGGGCUUCCAGAGUCCUCAGUUCUGAGACUGGAUUUAUAGAUGUGCUAUGCAGCUCACAGUCCUUGGAGACAUUAGAACUGUCGCAUAUUCAGACAGAGGAGCCUGGUGUGCAGCAGUCCAUGAGGUCACAAAGAGUCGGACACAGCUUAGCGACUGAACAACAAUAUUCAGUCAUGCAUGUAGGGACAGCUUGGCUCAGCUCCAUGUCAUGUGGCUGUUGUACCUAGGACUUCCUAGCUCUUAAACUCCACAACUCCAUAUAAGCCAUAGUCCCGGGCCAUAUUUGGCAGAAGUUCUGUUUAGCUUUCUUUCAUCAGUCAGAAAGCUCUGCCUCAUUCCCCGAUUUUAAGAAGGGAGGCUGGCUCUCGUCCUCAGCCUCAAGUGGGACAUAUUUAUUGUUGACUAAACCCGUGAACAAGCCCUGCUUUCCUUCCAGGCAUUGAUCUCACAGGGCUUUGGCUUGUAUCCAGGUCAUUAAUUAUCUUGCAGUUGUUUUCCAUUCUUCUAGCAAGGAAGGGUUUCUUCUUCUUUAGCCUGGCUGUGCCUUUUCAUUUUCCUUUUAAAGUGUGUUGUGGAUCAUUGCUAUUUGUUCAGAUUGGGAGGGGCUGGCCCUCCAGAAGCGCACCUACAAUUCUAGUCUAACCCUAAGGCCCCAGUUUUGUCAUUAGGUGAUCAGAAACAAUGCUUUGUUUUACAUUUUUAAGCUACAACUAACACUCAAGUUGUUUUCAGUUACACAGAGUCCUUUGAUAAGAAUAGAAGAAUAGGGACUGUAGGAUUUCCCAAGUGGACCUGAGUUUUAUUAUUGUGAUACAUCUAGAGACCUACAGAUCUGGGAUUAAAUGUUUAUUUUCUCCAUAAGGGUAGAAAUGCAUAUUUUAAUGUCUUUGAGACUUAGUUUCCCCAUCUAUAAAAUGGGGAAAUUGUUUCAGCAUUUAGGAGUUUUAUGAUGAAUAAAUUGAACAUGUAUGAAGUAUAUGCCAAUGGUGCCUGACUCUAUACCUUGGCAGAUAGUAAUAAAAAAAAUCCAACUGAGAUGCGUAAGCAAAAUGUAAAUUGACUGGCAUAUUUUACUAGCAGUUCAGAGACAGGGUGGGUUUAAGCACUAACCUAUUACAGGGCCUCCAGUCAUGAUUUCCUAUGAUUCUCUUGGAUUUACCAUCUUCAUAUGGAUCUACUUGUCAGGCUGAUAGCGACAAGCUACUUGGACCUAUCUGUGUAUCACAACAUCCAGGAAGGACAACAGUUAUGUAAGGGGGCAAGACGUUCUGGUUGGCUAAAUCCAUGUGGCUCGAUCUUCAGCCUCGGGUAGGAUCAGGUUUCCCCGAGUUGCCAAAGAUGUGUUGGGAGGAGGACCCUUGCUAAGAGGGUAAAAGGGGGGUUCCCAGUAGGAGUGCUAGGAUGUUUUGGGUACCCAACUCAAACUGACAAUAGAAAAAUACAGUAUCAGGUUGGCCAAAAAGUUCAUUUGGGUUUUCCAUAAAAUGCUAUGAACUUUUUGGCCAACCCAAUACAUUACAAGACAGGCAGUCCAAAGGCAUGGCUCAGUGAUACCAUGAAGACUGCUUGGACCAGCUCACAGGCAUUAAUUGUUCAAUACUCAGGAAUUUUGUAAGCCAACUGUUAAAUUGUUGGCAGCUUACUGACCUGGGUUUGAUCCCUGGGUCAGGAAGAUUGCCUGGAGAAGGAAAUGGCAACACACUCCAGUACUCUUGCCUAGAAAAUCCCAUGGAUGGAGGAGCUUGGUGCAGGCUACUGUCCAUGGGGUUGCAAAGAGUUGGGCAUGAAUGAGCGACUUCGCUUCACUUUAUAUUACUGUGGUGGGAGUAAUUACUUUGCUUUUUAGGUAGAAGAGACCAGUCUACUAUGAAACCCAGUGAAUGUCAGGAGACUUGCAAGUUUUGCUUAAAAGUCCUACAUUUAAUUUCUAGCCACCAUUCCAAGCAUUUGUCUGGUAACGCUCACACUGAUAAAGAUAGGAUCAAGCUAAAGAGUGGGACACGUCGGAGAGACUAAGCAGAGCAGAGAGAAGCUCUAUCUUCUUCUCUUCCAUGAGCAUGUUUGAAGGGGACUUUCCUGGUGGUCCAGUGGUUGAGAGUCUGUGCUCCCAAUGCAGGGAGCCCAGGUUCAACCCCUGGUCAGGGAAUUAGAUCCCACAUGCCACAAUUAAGAGUUUGCAUGCUACAAUGAAGACUGAAGAUCCCACAUGCCACAACUCAAGACCUGGCACAGUCAAAUAAAUAAAUAGUGUUAAAAAAAUGUUUGAAGAGAGGGGUUCGCUUGCUGACACCAACAGUAAUAUUUUUUUUUAAUUUUUUAAUGAGAGGGGACUAAUCUAGUGGUAACAUUAACCACCUUGUGAGACAUGUGCAGUCAUCAGCCAUCAGCUCCUAUUGGAGACACAAACCCAGAACACAGAGACUGGGCGCCACCAGUGGCCACCGAACCAGGAAGGGAGAGCCUUGCCUUUCCUUCCUGCUCGCCUCAUUUUCUCAGCUUUCUCCUCUUCCCCUUCUUCUCUAGCAACAACUUGAAAUCACCUCUCUCUUGCCCCUCCCUCUUCCCCAUCCUUCUUCUUUCCCUCCAUCUCACACGUUUGCUAUAUUCUUUCCCUUUACUUCUCUAACUUGCACAUUGGAUUCAUCAGGAAAGUGUGUAACCAUAGCAAAAAAUAUUUUUUAAUUAAAAACAAAGACUAAGAGUCUAGAGAUUCAGGAUAUGUCGGCCCCAGAAAACAUUUUCAUCAAUGUACCUUGGAUCUACUGUGUGUAUGGCACUAAUAAUCUUGUGGCAUCUGCCCUCCUAGACGAGUAAGCUAACUUCAGCUACGAGGGAAAAAAAUCGCAGCUACAAAAUUAAAGACUAAAGGACUGGUCCACUGGUCCUUCAAAUGCAUCUGUGGCGAGUGAGGAUGGCUCAGAACAUAUCCAUCAUUGAAAGGAGCAUCAAGGACAGGCACAGCACAGACUGGAGUAGUAGGUCAAGGACUCAAUCUGAAAUCAGACAAAUCCAAGUUCAGAUUCUAGUUCUGCCACUAACUAACUUACAAUCUUGAAUUUAACAUCUCCAAGUUUCCGUUUCCUCAGCUAUAAAAUGAAAGACACGUCUGGCUUGCCCUUCUUAUGAUGGAGAAGAACAAGAAGAAAAUACAUGGGCAAGUGUAAUAAAUUAUAAUGCACUAUGGAACAGCUUCUUAACCAUUAACGUGCAUAGAAUCACCUGAGAAAAUUCUUUAAAUGCAUAUUCCCCAGGUCUUUCUCCCAGAGAUGUUCAGGAAGUACAGGGCUGUGCCUGGAAAGGUGUAUAUUACCAAGCAUCUUUGAUAAAUAAUCAUGAUGCUGAAGGCUCUUGGACCACAAUUUUAAAAACUGCGUUAUGCAAAUAUAUACCAAUUGAAAGAGAGAUUAAGGCACAGAAGUUAUUAACUUCCUUUGUAAUAACACUAAUUAUUUUCUAUUUUGAAUAAAAGUUUUAUGAAGUCCCUUUACUCAUAGAUUAAUUAAAUCAGAGAAUUGUAUUUUGUUCAUCCUUUGGUGUUCACAGCAAAUAUUUAUAAAUAUUUACUGUAUGGUAAUCAGAUCUGGGGGAGGGGGGAAGAUCGCCUGGAGGAGGGCAUGACAACCCACUCCAAUAUUCUUGCCUGGAGAAUUCCAUGGACAAAGGAGCCUGGCAGGCUACAGUUCAUAGGGUCACAAAGAGUUAGACAUGACUGAAGUGACUUAGCACACAUGCAAUCAGAUCUAGGACAGUCUAUAAAGCAUCCUUGAAGGUUUUACCUCAUUUACGGGUAUAUUUGGGUAACAGGACUUGGCAGAAUCAUCUUGAGCUCUGCCUCUGGAUUCCCAUGGGCUGCUCUUUGCUUACAAAUAAGUGACCCAGUGCCUUCUGAUAAUGGCUUCACCCUGCAGAAAGAGGUAGAUGUGCAGGAAGUUUAGCAACGAAGUUUCAGGAAUCUCCUUAAGUUCUCCGUCACUGUGUCUAUCACAGACUUCCAGGUCUUUCCAACCAGUACUGGCAGGAUUUUCACAAUAUCAAAGCAAAGGAUUCGGCCCCCCUACUCUUCAGAGUGUGCUCAUCCACUGCGUUGUUGCCCCAGCAGAGACAGUCCAGUUCAAAGCGUGCACAAGCGUUAUGCAGUCUGGCCCCUGGGGAGUGGGGCUGGAGUAGAAUAGCUCGAUGUGACAACCCCAGCACCUGGACAUUAGUAUUUCUACUCUCAUCUUAGGCAACAGGAGACAACAAAGCUUCCCAAAGGGGCUGCAGAAACUUGCUUUGCUGGGGCUAUGUUCAGACUUCACACUAAUAUGGCAAGGAAGGUGCUUAAAUGGAAUCACAGAAUUUUUAGUCUUUGAGAAAAUCCCUGUUGAACUAUUCUUUUUGAGCCAGGCACCAUUUUAAACCUUUCACUAAAAUGUUAAUAAAAUACCCAAAGACUCCAGUACUCUUGCCUAGAAAAUUCCAUGGACUGAGGAGCCUGGUAGGCUACAGUCCAUGGGGUCACAAAGAGUCGGACACGACUGAGCGACUUUACUUACUUGCUUACUCUUUGUGGCGCUAAGAUUCUAGCAGCAGGAGACACACUACAUAAUAAAUGGACUUGAUUGCAGUUGAUCUUUGUAAAGACCAUUUGUUGAAUUGGUGGAAACCUGAAUCAGUAAAUGAGAGGUGAUCUCAAUGCAGCACUUACUUUUUUUUUUUCGGUGGUUUUAUUCAUCCAGCUCUUGCUCUUAGCAGUUGCUUAGGAAAAAAGAUUGAAUACAGAAAUGUGAGGAGCAUGGAAGAACUAAAUCUGAUUUAAAUGUAGUAUAGCAAAUAAAGGAAUGUGAUUCUGUUUUUGCUUGACCUAAAAUGUGACUCAUUAAUGCAGCACUUUUUGCACCCCAUCCUGCCAAGUUCUUGUGCAAAGCACACUCUGCCCUUGGGCAUUUUCCUGACUCCACUACUUUUUUCUAGGGAUGACCUAUGCCUCACACCUUAGUCAUCUUUUCACUGAGAAAGGACUUUCUUAAGAACAUCGAAUUUGGAAAGUCCCUUUUUGCACCUCUCUUUUUUUGUUUUCAACUGAGAUGAAAUUCACAUAAGAUUAUCCACUUGAAAGCGUACAGUUCAGCGGCAUUUAGUAUAUUCACAAAGUUGUGCAAUCUCCAUCUCUCUCUAGUUCCAAAACAUUUCCAUCAUUCCUAGAGAAAAUGCUGUAUCCAUGUAGGGGUCAUUUCUCCCCCUCCCCAACUCCAGUCCCUGGAAACCACCAAUUUGCUUUCUAUCUCUAAGGGUUUAACUCUUCUGGACAUUUCAUAUAAAUGAAAUCACAUAAUAUGUGGUCUUUUGUGUCUGCUUUCUCUCAUGGAACUGUAUGUCUAAGAAUAUUCAAGUGAAGCAGCAGAUUUUAAUUCUGCGGUGAAAAAAAGGAAAUGCAAUACCUGCUAGUUCUUAUCUGAUAGUUAUAAUCAAAGAUUUUUCUGAUUUCUUCAGCUUCAGGUGACACAUACAAUGCUUGUCGGAUUUAUAUUUCCUAGGGCAAGUUUUCUUUGGAUAAAGAUACAUAAUAACACCUGAAACUAACACAACAUUGAAAAUCAACUAUACGCCAAUAAAAAAAAAGAUCCAGAA